CCGUAUCAUGUUGAAACACCAGUCUCUUUAUGAUCACCGAAGUUAAUCAAUGUUGAGCCUGGUCUGUACUUAGAUGGGUGACCACUUGGGAAUACCAUGUGCUGUAUG